rnacentral:rRNA from 1 species
GAUGAACGCUGGCGGCAUGCCUAACACAUGCAAGUCGAUCGGUAAGGCUCUUCGGAGUACACGAGAGGCGGACGGCUGAGUAACGCGUAGGAACACACCCUGCAGUGAGGGAUAAGACACCGAAAGGUGUUCUAAUACCGCAUACGGUCUUCGGAUUAAAGCAUUUAUGCGCUGAAGGAGUGGCCUGCGUCAUAUUAGAUAGUUGGUGAGGUAAUGGCUCACCAAGUCGAUGAUGUGUAGCUGGUCUGAGAGGAUGAUCAGCCAGACUGGAACUGAGACACGGUCCAGACUCCUACGGGAGGCAGCAGUGAGGAAUAUUUCACAAUGAGCGAAAGCUUGAUGGAGCAAUGCCGCGUGCAGGAUGAAGGACCUCGGGUUGUAAACUGCUUUUAUAAGAGAAGAUUAUGACGGUAACUUAUGAAUAAGGGACGGCUAACUACGUG